GUUCCAUACAGAUCAGUGACAGUAGUAGACUAUGUAGCAGAGUGUUUAAUGGUGCAGUACAUUAUGAGGUGUCUACAGUAGUAGACUAUGUAGCAGAGUGUUUAAUGGUGCAGUACAUUAUGAGGUGUCUACAGUAGUAGACUAUGUAGCAGAGUGUUUAAUGGUGCAGUACAUUAUGAGGUGUCUACAGUAGUAGACUAUGUAGCAGAGUGUUUAAUGGUGCAGUACAUUAUGAGGUGUCUACAGUAGUAGACUAUGUAGCAGAGUGUUAAUGAUGCAGUACAUUAUGAGGUGUCUACAGUAGUAGACUAUGUAGCAGAGUGUUUAAUGGUGCAGUACAUUAUGAGGUGUCUACAGUAGUAGACUAUGUAGCAGAGUGUUAAUGAUGCAGUACAUUAUGAGGUGUCUACAGUAGUAGACUAUGUAGCAGAGUGUUUAAUGGUGCAGUACAUUAUGAGGUGUCUACAGUAGUAGACUAUGUAGCAGAGUGUUUAAUGGUGCAGUACAUUAUGAGGUGUCUACAGUAGUAGACUAUGUAGCAGAGUGUUUAAUGGUGCAGUACAUUAUGAGGUGUCUACAGUAGUAGACUAUGUAGCAGAGUGUUUAAUGGUGCAGUACAUUAUGAGGUGUCUACAGUAGUAGACUAUGUAGCAGAGUGUUUAAUGGUGCAGUACAUUAUGAGGUGUCUACAGCUGUUGG